GGGGAAUUUUGGACAAUGGGGGCAACCCUGAUCCAGCCAUGCCGCGUGUGUGAAGAAGGCCUUCGGGUUGUAAAGCACUUUUGGCGGGAACGAAACGGUCUGUGCUAAUACCACGGACUAAUGACGGUACCCGCAGAAUAAGCACCGGCUAACUACGUGCCAGCAGCCGCGGUAAUACGUAGGGUGCAAGCGUUAAUCGGAAUUACUGGGCGUAAAGCGUGCGCAGGCGGUUUCGCAAGUCAGAUGUGAAAUCCCCGGGCUCAACCUGGGAACUGCAUUUGAAACUACGAGGCUUGAGUGUGGCAGAGGGGGGUGGAAUUCCACGUGUAGCAGUGAAAUGCGUAGAGAUGUGGAGGAACACCGAUGGCGAAGGCAGCCCCCUGGGCUAACACUGACGCUCAUGCACGAAAGCGUGGGGAGCAAAC
rnacentral:rRNA from 1 species